rnacentral:pre_miRNA from 1 species
UUUUUAGUGUAAGUAUGUCCCGUGCAAUAGCUGAGACGUACUUAUACUAAAA